rnacentral:tRNA from 1 species
GCGGUUGUGGCUCAGUUGGCAGAGUGCUUGCCUAGCAUGUGUGAGGCACUGGGUUUGAUUCUCAGCACCGCA